CCCCAGUAACGGCGAGUGAAGCGGCAACAGCUCAAAUUUGAAAUCUGGCCCCUAGGGCCCGAGUUGUAAUUUGUAGAGGAUGCUUUUGGCAAGGCGCCGCCCGAGUUCCCUGGAACGGGACGCCACAGAGGGUGAGAGCCCCGUCUGGCUGGCCGCCGAGCCUCUGUAAAGCUCCUUCGACGAGUCGAGUAGUUUGGGAAUGCUGCUCUAAAUGGGAGGUAUAUGUCUUCUAAAGCUAAAUAUUGGCCAGAGACCGAUAGCGCACAAGUAGAGUGAUCGAAAGAUGAAAAGCACUUUGAAAAGAGGGUUAACCAGUACGUGAAAUUGUUGAAAGGGAAGCGCUCAUGACCAGACUUGGGCUUGGCGGAUCACCCGGCGUUCUCGCCGGUGCACUUCGCCUCGCCCAGGCCAGCAUCAGUUCGCGCCGGGGGACAAAGGCUUCGGGAACGUGGCUCCUCCGGGAGUGUUAUAGCCCGUUGCGUAAUACCCUGGGGCGGACUGAGGUCCGCGCAUCUGCAAGGAUGCUGGCGUAAUGGUCAUCAGCGACCCGUCUUGAAACACGGACCAAGGAGUCGUCUUCGUAUGCGAGUGUUCGGGUGCAAAACCCCUACGCGUAAUGAAAGUGAACGCAGGUGAGAGCUUCGGCGCAUCAUCGACCGAUCCUGAUGUUCUCGGAUGGAUUUGAGUAAGAGCAUACGGGGCCGGACCCGAAAGAAGGUGAACUAUGCCUGUAUAGGGUGAAGCCAGAGGAAACUCUGGUGGAGGCUCGCAGCGGUUCUGACGUGCAAAUCGAUCGUCAAAUAUGGGCAUGGGGGCGAAAGACUAAUCGAACCUUCUAGUAGCUGGUUUCCGCCGAAGUUUCCCUCAGGAUAGCAGUGUUGAACUCAGUUUUAUGAGGUAAAGCGAAUGAUUAGGGACUCGGGGGCGCUAUUUAGCCUUCAUCCAUUCUCAAACUUUAAAUAUGUAAGAAGCCCUUGUUGCUUAGUUGAACGUGGGCAUUCGAAUGUAUCAACACUAGUGGGCCAUUUUUGGUAAGCAGAACUGGCGAUGCGGGAUGAACCGAACGCGAGGUUAAGGUGCCAGAGUAGACGCUCAUCAGACACCACAAAAGGCGUUAGUACAUCUUGACAGCAGGACGGUGGCCAUGGAAGUCGGAAUCCGCUAAGGACUGUGUAACAACUCACCUGCCGAAUGUACUAGCCCUGAAAAUGGAUGGCGCUCAAGCGUCUCACCCAUACCUCGCCCUCAGGGUAGAAACGAUGCCCUGAGGAGUAGGCGGACGUGGAGGUCAGUGACGAAGCCUAGGGCGUGAGCCGGGGUCGAACGGCCUCUAGUGCAGAUCUU
rnacentral:rRNA from 1 species